rnacentral:rRNA from 1 species
ACCUGGGCAUCUUCUUGGAGAACGUGUCUGCACUUGACUGUGUGGUGCGGUAUCCAGGACUUUUACUUUGAGGAAAUUAGAGUGUUUCAAGCAGGCCCACGCCUUGAAUACAUUAUCAUGGAAUAAUAAGAUAGGACCUCGGUUCUAUUUUGUUGGUUUCUAGAGCUGAGGUAAUGAUUAAUAGGGAUAGUUGGGGGCAUUCCUAUUUAACUGUC